AAGGGAGACCUAAUUCGGGUAGGAGACGAAAAAAAAGUAGUCGCUACCAAGAAUCAAUCCCAAAAGGUCGGAGCGAGGCGAAAUUGGCUUUCAAACUAGGUUCUGGGUUCACACAAGACCUGAAUCAGGAACAAGGGCUAUUAGCUCAGGUGGUUAGAGCGCACCCCUGAUAAGGGUGAGGUCCCUGGUUCGAGUCCAGGAUGGCCCACCUGUACAGGUGGCCAAAACCAAGAAAAGAAGCGAGGAAUCAGCACCUGCUCUUACCUACAUAGUAAGAGAGAAUGCUGGCUCUGAGUACAGAGUCCAGAGGAACCUUAAAAACUGCAUAGAGCUAGGUGAAAAAGCCAAAAAAGAAGACCGCAUGCAA
rnacentral:tRNA from 1 species